AGCAGCAGCCGCGGUAAUACGAAGGGGGCUAGCGUUGUUCGGAUUUACUGGGCGUAGAGGACGCGUAGGCGGACUGAUAAGUCAGGGGUGAAAUCCCAAGGCUCAACCUUGGAACUGCCUUUGAUACUGUUUGUCUUGAGUUCGAGAGAGGUAAGUGGAACUGCGAGUGUAGAGGUGAAAUUCGUAGAUAUUCGCAAGAACACCAGUGGCGAAGGCGGCUUACUGGCUCGAUACUGACGCUGAGGCGCGAAAGCGUGGGGAGCAAACAGGAUUAGAUACCCCUGUAGUCCCUGUCUCUUAUAC
rnacentral:rRNA from 1 species